ensembl:snRNA U6 U6 spliceosomal RNA
GUGCUCAAUUUGGCAGCACAUAUACUAAAGUUGGAAUGAUACAGAGAAGAUUGGCAUGGCUCCUGCACAAGGAUAACGUGCAAGUUCGUGACGUAGUUCAGUCACGU